rnacentral:lncRNA from 1 species
CAUGUUGAUCAUGGACUGAGCAAAGGCCUGAAAAAACAGACUCUGGUUACUUGCGAAGGAAGUAACAAUCGCAAUCGUGGCUGAACCGGUGGUAGAGAACAGUUCUUGGUCUGACUGAAGAAGCCCGUUGUUGCUCUGAAGGUUGGUGAAGUAAUUGUUAUCGAACGCGUCAGGUGUGCUCAGAUCAAGAUUAGUGAUCCCUGAUCCGGUGCCGUUUUGAGGACAUAUCUGUUGAAGACUGCUUAGAAGCGUAGUGUUUAGAGUUGGGUCAGGAUUUCCCGAGCCGCUGAAGUUGAAUAGUCUGUUACUGAACACUCCACAUCGAGCACGUCCGAAGGUAUGUGCACCUAUACGUAGAUAUAACCACAAAGGAUGGCGUUAGGGUUUUGUUUUACUUUUUCCGCAAGUUAACUAAACAUGUAGAUAUUUUUACCAGAUAAGGCUACUAGAUCAUUUGUAUUUAGCCCGACAGCUGAAAAUUUUGAUGUGAUGUUAGUAAGGCUUUCUACUGGAGAAGGAAUUGACGAAUUUGCCCCGGCUUGGUUUGCUGUGAGACUAUCUCUUCUGCCCAAUAAUACAGUCCAUGAAGGCCCUCCUGACUGACCAUGUUCAACCACGUACGUUUUAACUAGUGAGCAUAUGUAUUGUUUGCUAUGUCUUAUUAAGAAUGUGUUAUUACCAAAGAAACUGAGGCUUCUGAGGCAAGAGCUAAAACGUCAGAACAAGAGACGACGCCGGGACAAGCGUUCUCAAGGGCAGUCUUGAUAUUAUCGACAACGUUGAAUCCUCUUGCCGAGUUUGCAUUCGGUCCAGCAUUCUUCUCGCUCUGGAUGCUUCCACUGUCGUCAAGCAAGAUCGAUGCGUCACACCCCUUUUAGAAAAUAAAGAAAAGUAUCGGUUUAAGCGAGAAAAAGAUCAUAACGUUAAAGAGUUGUAUUGAGAAAGGAUUAGUAUACAUUAACAAAACAGUCGUGAAAAUGAAGGCGGAUGAGGCUAGCUCCGAUUCUAGAGUCGGACUGAAGGGCUUGCUGAAUAGUGGUACGUACGAUGGCAGAUGCGUUAGGGCACGUCCCUGAGUAAAACGUUGCAUUUAACUGCGCAUUUGAAGUUCCAAACAAUGAAGAUGAGAUGAUGAGAGUGGUGAGGAUUACGAUGAAGAAACCAUCACAAGUAGUAGGAGUAUUUGUUACAGCCAUUACUUAGGUUUUGGAAGUAACUAGUUUUGAAUUUUGUUUUUCUAUGAUUGGUGCGGAGCUUAUGAGUAUUCCAUAUCAUUUUGAAAUCAUUAUAUUUAUAGGCAGGGAAGGUUAUUAACGCGUACAUAUUGGCUGGUGAUGAAAGUGAAAGAUUUUAAAUUAAACCAAUAACUAGAUUAACGUGUGUGUUUGUGUACUAAGUCCAAAAGAUGAGAAAUAAGCUGGUGCUUCUACAUUUUCUUAAGUUAAAAGUUAUUUGUCUUUAGGUUAUACCAUCUCCAUCACUUGCAUUAUUGUAGUCCUUCCACGCGGUUGGUAAAUGAAUUUAUAAAUAGUGUAUACUAUAAGAAUAUAUCAGAUUUUGCGUUCUUGAGACGAAAUCUCGUUCUGGUGAUCAAGAUUGUUUUUUCUUCGUUCUAUCAUUAACAUUGGAAUACACUAAAACAUGAUAUAAAUUAUAUAUCGAAAUUAAACAUCUUUAAUGCAUUCUGAUUCCCAUGUUUAAUAUCGAGAAUUCAUAUAAAAAUGAAUGUGAAUGAAGAUCUCAAUUCUCACAUUGAUAGGCAGAAUUUCAAAUAUGCUUUUAAAAAAGUUAGUCUGCACAAAUUAGUUUAUAAGUCACAUUUAGUCUACACGAAUUAGUUUACAAGUCACAUUUCUGCAAAAUAACUGCUACCUUCAAGAGUUGUUAGACCUUUACAGCUGUAUUAAUUUUGAGAAAACAAAUAGAUUCAUAAUCAAGUGUUUUAUAAUGAGUGUUUACUUCACUGAUUUUGAUAAAGAACCUUCAGAAGUCUUACUUUCGAGAUGUUCCUUUGACAUUAACCUAUGUUCGCAGAUGCGUGACUAGCUCUGGAUUUUCGAGUGACGGUGAUAUGGAUUAUGACUCUUAGAAAGAGCUUAGAACAUACUAUAACGUAUUAUUCUUGAAAUUUACUAUAACUGUUAAUUCUGAAAGUUUUUUCUCUAUUUCAUUAGUUUUUACUAUGAUGAAGUCAAAUAAAUAAGUAUCUCUGAUAACUAACUACAUUGAAAAUUAAUAUUGAAAAAAGUAUUUUAAAAUGCACAUAUACAUGUAUAUAUAUAUUUUAUAUUGUAUAGCUUUUCUAAAAAAAUUGCUGAGAAAUAAAAUACACACAGUUUUAAGGCCCAGCUGGCUAUAUUUCCCAUCAAACUUGCUAAAUAAAAGCCAAAACUGAGGCAAUUCCCCUUCCAAUCUUCCAUCAUCACGGAAAAACUAGGACAUUUUCAACAUUCAGUGAACCUUCAAAACAAACUAAAUGAAGGUUCCACAAUGUGAAAAUGUCAUUUAUAACCAAUUUGUGCAUCAUUGAUGGAUUCAUUUCCCUAUAAACAUACGAUUCUUAAAAAUUAUUCUAUUUUAAUUUCCAGUAGUUUAAUGAUUAAACUAGAUUUUGUGAUAACAUAUUACAUUAGAGUUUUAUAUUGGCAUUUAUUUUGAAACGAACAACUCUUCUAAACUGUACAUAUUGCCAAGUUCAAAUUUUUUUUUCAACUAUUCUUAAUUAUUUUUUUUCUUUUCUUAAUAUAAUUUAAGCAUUCAUACAAAAAUUGAUUUUUUUUAUUGAAAAAUAUAAAUCUUUAUUAAAAGUAUAUAAUUUUUUUUAUUAAAAUAUUAACCACAUAAUAAAAUUAAUUUAUCAAAGUUAUACCAACUUAAUUCAUUAAAGAAAUAAAGUUUAAUUUUUUAAACAUAAAUAGUCAUUUAAAAUAAAAUACGAUAAAUAAAGAUAAAAAGUUUAAGUCUUUUAUAAAAUAAAAUACAAAUAUAUGAAAAUAUGACAUUUACUAAAUAUUUGUCAAUUGAAAAAAAAAUAUGCGUUUUGAAAGCGCAGAUCAAAAUCUAGUUAAAAUUUAAAACUGAUGCAUUAUUGGAUAGAUUUUUUUUCUUGAACAAACACAUUAUUGGAUAGAUAAUAACGCUAAAGCCAAAAGAAAAUUUGAAUAUUGUAAAUAGUCCUCCUAUAUGGUACGUUUGAAAUACAACGCCAACUUUGCUGUAAUGAUAAUUCUCAUGACAAUAUUUUUUCCAUAAUUGACUUAUACGUCAAUUCCAUAAUUGACAUGAUAUCCAUGACUCCAUCCACUAGUAUUGUAUGUAAUUUAUUAUAAUUUUUUUAACUGUAAUUUAUUAUAAAAGAUGUGAUACAUCCAUGUAUUUAGCAUAACAACAUAUUUGUAAUUAUUAAAACAUCGUAGGUUCAAGAUAUAAUUCUACUAGGUGUUACCACAUAAUUUUCCCCUACCAUUUUUGUACGAAAAUGGUUCAGCUUAUUCGAAUAAUUAUUCAUAUGUGAUAAACAAACGGUGAAACUAGUCUUCGCAUUUUUCACAUUUCUUCUAAAUUCACUGUUUUCUCAGCAGAGCCAGACCUUAACUCAAUUGCCUGAGUGGUGGAUUGUCCAUUAACCACCUUACAGUCUUGUCUAAUCUCUCCACUACUCCCAGUCAACGGACUAAUGUUCCCCAUUUUGAUCAUGGACAGAGCAAACGCCUCGAAAAACUGAGUUUGGUUACUUGCAAAGGAAGUAACAAUAGGGAUGGUGGGAGAACCGGUGUCAGAUAACAGUUCUUGGUCUGACUGAAGAAGACCAUUGUUGCUCUGAAGGUUGGUGAAGUAAUUGUUAUCGAAAGCAUCAGGUGUGCUCAGAUCAAGAUUGGUGACUACUGAUGCGCUGCCGUUUUGAGGACAUAGCUGUUGAAGACUGCUGAGAAGUGUUGAGUUUAGAGUCGGGUCUGGACUUCCUGUCCCAUUG